rnacentral:rRNA from 1 species
ACGCACCGAAAUGCGAUACGUCUUGCGACUUGCAGAAUCCAGUGAAUCAUCAAAACUUUGAACGCAUCUUGCGCUUCCGGGAAAUUCCUGGGAGCAUGCUUGUCGGAGUGUCUGUU